rnacentral:lncRNA from 1 species
GCUUGAGUGGCGUAUCCACUCGGCCAAUCAGAGCGCGGAAGAGCUCUGCACCAUUUCUCCCACUCGCCCAUAUAAUCGGAGGCGAGCGGUGAGGAAGGCCGAAUCUCAGUGGAACGAAUGGACAACUGACUUGACCAAUGGAAGCCUUUCCCCUCCCACUGCGUUGGGCGGAGUAACAAGUGGAAGCGGUGUGUUUCGUUAGGAAGCCGUUAGGUCCCUGUGGCCGCGCACUGCUCUCCGCCGCCCGCUGCUGUCUGCGCCUCACAGCGCCCCUUCGCAGCCUGCCAGAGCUCUCGCUGCCUUCUCCAGGCUUCGUUUGGAUCCCAGCUGUGCUACUCAAGGAGUGGGUUUUGUAGCCCUGUGAGCGGCACUUGUGACCA